rnacentral:rRNA from 1 species
UACGUAGGGUGCGAGCGUUGUCCGGAAUUAUUGGGCGUAAAGAGCUCGUAGGCGGUGUGUCACGUCGGCCGUGAAAACCUGCAGCUUAACUGUGGGCGUGCGGUCGAUACGGGCAUCACUGGAGUUCGGCAGGGGAGACUGGAAUUCCCGGUGUAGCGGUGGAAUGCGCAGAUAUCAGGAGGAACACCGGUGGCGAAGGCGGUUCUCUGGGCAUUACCUGACGCUGGAGGAGCGAAAAGUGUGGGGGAGCA